UACGAAGGGUGCAAGCGUUAAUCGGAAUUACUGGGCGUAAAGGGUGCGUAGGCGGUUCGUUAAGUCUGUCGUGAAAUCCCCGGGCUCAACCUGGGAAUGGCGAUGGAUACUGGCGAGCUAGAGUGUGUCAGAGGAUGGUGGAAUUCCCGGUGUAGCGGUGAAAUGCGUAGAGAUCGGGAGGAACAUCAGUGGCGAAGGCGGCCAUCUGGGACAACACUGACGCUGAAGCACGGAAGCGUGGGGAGCAAACAGG
rnacentral:rRNA from 1 species